ensembl:lncRNA
AUGAGGUAUGGACAUCAAUAUACUGCUCUACUCUACUACUCUAAUCUACUCUACUACUCUUCUACUCUACUCUAUUACACUACUCUACUACUCUACUCUAUUACACUACACCACUACUCUACUCUACUACUCCUCUACUCUACUCUAUUACACUACUCUACUAUUCUACUCUAUUACACUAUUCUACUACUCUACUCUAUUACACUACACCACUACUCUACUCUAUUACACUAUUCUACUACUCUACUCUAUUACACUACACCACUACUCUACUCUACUACUCCACUACUCUACGCUAUUACACGACUCUACUACUCUACUCUAUUACACUACACCACUACUCUACUCUACUACUCCACUACUCUACUCUAUUACACUACUCUACUAUUCUACUCUAUUACACUACACCACUACUCUACUACUCCACUACUCUACUCUAUUACACUACACCACUACUCCACUACUCUACUCUACUACUCCACUAUUCUACUCUAUUACACUACACCACUACUCUACUACUCCACUACUCUACUCUAUUACACUACACCACUACUCUACUACUCCACUACUCUACUCUAUUACACUACACCACUACUCCACUACUCUACUCUAUUACACUACACCACUACUCUACUCUAUUACACUACACCACUACUCUACUACUCUACUCUACUACUCCACUACUCUACUCUAUUACACUACACCACUACUCUACUACUCUACUCUACUACUCCACUACUCUACUCUAUUACACUACACCACUACUCUACUGCUCUACUCUACUACUCCACUACUCUACUCUAUUACACUACACCACUACUCUACUACUCUACUUUACUACUCCACUACUCUACUCUAUUACACUACACCACUACUCUACUGCUCUACUCUACUACUCCACUACUCUACUCUAUUACACUACACCACUACUCUACUCUAUUACACUAUUCUACUACUCUACUCUAUUACACUACACCACUACUCUACUCUACUACUCCACUACUCUACUCUAUUACACUACUCUACUAUUCUACGCUAUUACACGACUCUACUACUCUACUCUAUUACACUACACCACUACUCUACUCUACUACUCCACUACUCUACUCUAUUACACUACUCUACUAUUCUACGCUAUUACACGACUCUACUACUCUACUCUAUUACACUACACCACUACUCUACUCUACUACUCCACUACUCUACUCUAUUACACUACACCACUACUCUACUCUACUACUCCACUACUCUACUCUAUUACACUACACCACUACUCUACUACUCUACUCUACUACUCUACUACUCUACUCUACUACUCUACUCUAUUACACUACACCACUACUCUACUACUCUACUCUACUACUCCACUACUCUACUCUAUUACACUACACCACUACUCUACUCUACUACUCCACUACUCUACUCUAUUACACUACACCACUACUCUACUACUCUACUCUACUACUCCACUACUCUACUCUAUUACACUACACCACUACUCUACUACUCUACUCUACUACUCCACUACUCUACUCUAUUACACUACACCACUACUCUACUACUCUACUCUACUACUCCACUACUCUACUCUAUUACACUACACCACUACUCUACUACUCUACUCUACUACUCCACUACUCUACUCUGUUACACUACACCACUACUCUACUACUCUACUCUACUACUCCACUAUUCUACUCCACUACUCUACUCUAUUACACUACUCUACUACUCUACUCUACUACUCCACUACUCUACUCUAUUACACUACACCACUACUCUACUACUCUACUCUACUACUCCACUACUCUACUCUAUUACACUACACCACUACUCUACUACUCUACUCUACUACUCCACUACUCUACUCUGUUACACUACACCACUACUCUACUACUCUACUCUACUACUCCACUAUUCUACUCCACUACUCUACUCUAUUCCACUACUCUACUACUCUACUCUACUACUCCACUACUCUACUCUAUUACACUACACCACUACUCUACUACUCUACUCUACUACUCCACUAUUCUACUCUACUACUCCACUACUCUACUCUAUUACACUACACCACUACUCUACUACUCUACUCUACUACUCUACUACUCUACUCUACUACUCCACUACUCUACUCUAUUACACUACACCACUACUCUACUACUCUACUCUACUACUCCACUACUCUACUCUAUUACACUACACCACUACUCUACUACUCUACUCUACUACUCCACUACUCUACUCUAUUACACUACACCACUACUCUACUACUCUACUCUACUACUCUACUACUCUACUCUACUACUCCACUACUCUACUCUAUUACACUACACCACUACUCUACUACUCUACUCUACUACUCCACUAUUCUACUCUACUACUCCACUACUCUACUCUAUUACACUACACCCCUACUCUACUCUACUACUCUACUACUCUACUCUACUACUCCACUACUCUACUCUAUUACACUACACCACUACUCUACUACUCUACUCUACUACUCCACUAUUCUACUCUACUACUCCACUACUCUACUCUAUUACACUACACCCCUACUCUACUCUACUACUCUACUCUACUACUCCACUACUCUACUCUAUUAUUCUUCCAACAGAGAUGAACGAGGCUCCUUUGUGCCAAAGGAAUUCCCUAGCCUGGGCUGGGAAUGUUCUGAGAUACUCAGGCCAGGCCAGAAGAGUUAUCAUAUCUGUUCUUAGCUUCAGAGACAGCAAGAGCGCUCUCUCUCUCUCCCUCCUCUCUUUCUCCUCAUUCUCUCUCUCUCUCUCCCCCUCACUGUCUGCUUCCUUCCCUCACUCUACCCCCCCCCACCCCCCACCCCCCCCACCCUCUCUUACACACACAUACACGUGUGUAACUAUAUACAAGUAA